rnacentral:rRNA from 1 species
ACGGGAGGCAGCAGUGGGGGAUAUUGCACAAUGGGGGAAACCCUGAUGCAGCGACGCCGCGUGAGUGAAGAAGUAUUUCGGUAUGUAAAGCUCUAUCAGCAGGAAAGAUAAUGACGGUACCUGACUAAGAAGCACCGGCUAAAUACGUGCCAGCAGCCGCGGUAAUACGUAUGGUGCAAGCGUUAUCCGGAUUUACUGGGUGUAAAGGGAGCGUAGACGGCAUGGCAAGCCAGAUGUGAAAGGCAGGGGCUCAACUCCUGGACUGCAUUUGGAACUGUCAAGCUAGAGUAUCGGAGAGGUAAGUGGAAUUCCUAGUGUAGCGGUGAAAUGCGUAGAUAUUAGGAGGAACACCAGUGGCGAAGGCGGCUUGCUGGACGAUAACUGACGUUGAGGCUCGAAAGCGUGGGGAGCAAACAGGAUUAGAUACCCUGGUA